GUAUUAUGCUUGUCUUCAAAGAUUAAGCCAUGCAUGUGUAAGUAUAACUAAUUCAGACUGUUUGAAACUGCGAAGGCUCAUUAAAUCAGUUAUAAGUUUGUUUGCAUUGGUAUCUGCUACUCGGGAUAACCGUUGAAGUAAUUCUAGAGCUAAUACGUGCAACAAAACCCCGACUUCUGGAACAGGAUGCAUUUUAUUAAUAAAAGUGUCGACGCGGGCUCGCCCAGUGCUGCUUGAUUGAUUCAUGAUAACUCGACGGAUCGCCGGCCAUUCAGUGCCGGCGACGCAUCAUUCCAAAUUUUCUGGCCCUUAUCAACUUUCGAUGGUAGGAUAGAGGCCUACAGAUGGUGGUGACGGGACGGAGAAUUAGGCGAAGUCGAUUCCGGGAGAGGGGCACUUGAGAGAAACGGCUCCACAUCCAAGGAAGCAGCAGGCGCGCCACAAUUACCCCAAUCCUGACACGGGGAGUAGUGACAAAAAUAACAAUACCGGCUCUCGAGUCUGUAAUUGGAUGAGUACUAUCUAAAUCCCCUUAACGAGGAUCAUUGGAGGGCAAGUCUGGUGCCAGCAGCCGCCGGUAAUUCCAGCCUCCAAUAGCGUAUGAUUUAAUGUUGCAAGUUUAAAAAGCUCGUUAGUUGGACCUUGGGUUGGGAUCUGCCGGUCCGCCUCGCGGUGCUGGCACCUGUCGGCUCGUUCCCUUCUGCCGGCGUAUGCGCUCCUGGCCUAACUGGCCGGGUCGUGCCCUCCGCGCGCUGUACUUUGAAGAAUUAGAGUGCCUCAAAAGCAAGCCUCUGCUUCUUGGAUACAUUAGCAUGGGAUUAACAUGCAUAGGAUUCGGUGCCUUUGUGUGGCCUUGGGAUCGGCAGUAUGAUUAACAGGGAACAGUCGGGGGCCAUUCGUAUUUUCAUAGUCAGAGGUGAAAUUCUUGAUUAUUACUGAAAGACGAACAACUGCGAAAGUCAUUUUGCCAAGGAAUGUUCUUCAUUAAUCAAGAACGAAAGUUGGGGGCUCGAAGCACGAUCAGUACCGUCCUAGUCUCAACCAUAACGAUGGCGACCAGGGAUCGCCGGAUGUUGCUUUUUUAGGACUCCGGCCGGCACCUUAUGGAGAAACAAAGUCUUUGGUCCGCGGGGGAGUAAUUGCGUCGCAAGGCUGAAACUUAAAGGGAAUGAUCGGGAAGGGCACCAACCAGGAGUGGAGGCCUGCGGCUUAAUUUGGACUCAAACACGGGGAAACUUACCAGGUCCCAGACCAUAGUAAGGAUUUGACAGACUGUAGAGCUCUUUCUGUUUGGAUUCUAUGCGGCUCUGUGCUCAAUGGCGUUCUUAGUUGGUGCGAGCGAUUUUGUCUGCCGUUUAAUCCGUUAACGAACGAGACUCUCAAGCCUGCUAACUAGCUAUUGCGGGGACCCUCCGCGGCCAGCUUUCUCUAGGAGGGUACUAUGGCCUUUUAGGGCUGGAAGUUUGAGGCAAUAACAGGGUCCGUGAUGCCCUUAGAUGUUCUGGGCCGCGGACGCGCCGCUACACUGAUGCUAUUUCAACGAGGUCUAUAGCCCUUGGCCGAAGGCCCGCGGUAAUCUUGAAAUCUUCAUCGUGAUGGGAGGAUAGAUCAUUGCAAUUGUUGGUGCUUCCAACGAGGAAUUCCUAGUAAGCGCGAGUUCAUCAAGCUCGCGUUGAACUACGUCCCUGCCCUUGUACACACCGCCCGUCGCUUCCACCGAUGAAUGGUCCGGUGAAGUUGUUCGGAUUCCGCAGUCGACAGUGGGCGGUUCGCACGCCCGGCGACGCCCUCAUCCAGAGAAGGUCCACUGAACCUUAUCAUUUAGAGGAAGGAGAAGUCUCAACAAGGUUUUUGCGUGAAACCUGCGGAAG
rnacentral:rRNA from 1 species